rnacentral:rRNA from 15 species
GCUUACGGCCAUACCACCCUGAACGCGCCCGAUCUCGUCAGAUCUCGGAAGCUAAGCAGGGUCGGGCCUGCUUAACUUGGAUGGGAGACCGCCUGGGAAUACCAGGUGCUUUAAGCC